GGAAGGUCGGGGUCCAACUCUCUUUGAGAGGUGAUCGUGGAUAUUGUGGUGUUGGGGAAGGUCGGGGUCCAACUCUCUUUGAGAGGUGAUCGUGGAUAUUGUGGUGUUGGGGAAGGUCGGGGUCCAACUCUCUUUGAGAGGUUAUCAUGGAUAUUGUGGUGUUGGGAAGGUCGGGGUCCAACUCUCUUUGAGAGGUGAUCGUGGAUAUUGUGGUGUUGGGGAAGGUCGGGGUCCAACUCUCUUUGAGAGGUGAUCGUGGAUAUUGUGGUGUUGGGGAAGGUCGGGGUCCAACUCUCUUUGAGAGGUGAUCGUGGAUAUUGUGGUGUUGGGGAAGGUCGGGGUCCAACUCUCUUUGAAAGGUGAUUGUUGAUGUGGUGUUGGGC